AGAUGUUUUUCACGUCAAUGAGAAUAUAACAAACCUUCUGCCAUCUUCUAUAUUCUAUCAAUGUCACAAAUGACUGUUAAGAGUUUUGUUGGUAAAUAGUUGACAAACCCACAUAAAUGGAGUAUUAUUCUUCGUAAUGUAAUGUGAGAAAGAAGGCAAAAGAUGUGCGGCAGAAAUUAGAGAUAUACAACAUCAGUAUCAGAUAGUGAGUGACUGAGAUUCAGAAAUUAAGAGUUCUGGGAGUAAGUUUGCUUUUAAUUUUUUAGAUGAUUAAGAGUUCUGGGAGUAUCAGCUAAGAGGAAUGAAGAAGAAGGAGAAAGUGAGAGAAAGCAGAGUUGGACUAACUGAAACAAAAUGAAGACUACCUGAAGAAAAAUGAAGACUACCUGAAAAAGAAUAAAGACCAACUGAAACCCAAGUAAGUCUAACUGAAGCACAAAAACCAACUGAAAAAAAAAGAAGACUAACUGGAAAAAAAAAAGAA